GAGAAGCUUGCUUCUCUUGAGAGCGGCGGACGGGUGAGUAAUGCCUAGGAAUCUGCCUGGUAGUGGGGGAUAACGUUCGGAAACGGACGCUAAUACCGCAUACGUCCUACGGGAGAAAGCAGGGGACCUUCGGGCCUUGCGCUAUCAGAUGAGCCUAGGUCGGAUUAGCUAGUUGGUGAGGUAAUGGCUCACCAAGGCGACGAUCCGUAACUGGUCUGAGAGGAUGAUCAGUCACACUGGAACUGAGACACGGUCCAGACUCCUACGGGAGGCAGCAGUGGGGAAUAUUGGACAAUGGGCGAAAGCCUGAUCCAGCCAUGCCGCGUGUGUGAAGAAGGUCUUCGGAUUGUAAAGCACUUUAAGUUGGGAGGAAGGGCAGUUACCUAAUACGUAAUUGUUUUGACGUUACCGACAGAAUAAGCACCGGCUAACUCUGUGCCAGCAGCCGCGGUAAUACAGAGGGUGCAAGCGUUAAUCGGAAUUACUGGGCGUAAAGCGCGCGUAGGUGGUUAGUUAAGUUGGAUGUGAAAUCCCCGGGCUCAACCUGGGAACUGCAUUCAAAACUGACUG
rnacentral:rRNA from 1 species